UCCCUGAGCGCUUUCUGUAGAGUUCUGGAGGACGGGAAUGAAAAUGGCGGCCUCCUGGUCUCUGGCCUGGAGGAGCCGAGAGCUUGGGGCCCCACUCCUCAUUGCGCCCUCAGAGAACAGCACCCAUUUACUCCCGUCUGCCUGACCUCCAGCAGCGCUCCAAGCUCACUGAGCCUGCGACCGGUUCAAGAGAGAAAGAGAGUGC